CCUACGGGCGGCAGCAGUAGGGAAUCUUCCACAAUGGGCGAAAGCCUGAUGGAGCAACGCCGCGUGGGUGAAGAAGGUCUUCGGAUCGUAAAACCCUGUUGUUAGAGAAGAAAGUGCGUGAGAGUAACUGUUCACGUUUCGACGGUAUCUACCCAGAAAGCCACGGCUAACUACGUGCCAGCAGCCGCGGUAAUACGUAGGUGGCAAGCGUUAUCCGGAUUUAUUGGGCGUAAAGGGAACGCAGGCGGUCUUUUAAGUCUGAUGUGAAAGCCUUCGGCUUAACCGGAGUAGUGCAUUGGAAACUGGGAGACUGGAGUGCAGAAGAGGAGAGUGGAACUCCAUGUGUAGCGGUGAAAUGCGUAGAUAUAUGGAAGAACACCAGUGGCGAAAGCGGCUCUCUGGUCUGUAACUGACGCUGAGGUUCGAAAGCGUGGGUAGCAAACAGGAUUAGAUACCCCUGUAGUC
rnacentral:rRNA from 1 species